AAUUGUAUUCAGUGCUAGAAUAUGCCUCGAGUUCGAAGACGCCAAAAUUACCACCAUUUUAGCGAUUUUGACAGGGGUAGAAUUAUUGCCUAUAGAGAUACGGGUUUGUCGUAUCGCGAAAUUGACCCUGAUGUUAAUUGUACGGCAAUGACAGUUAUACGAGUGUGUCGUGUGUGGACAAACGAAGGUAGAGGAACACGAAGAAGAUCAACUGGUCAGCCAAGGCGUACCACAGGGCGUCAAGAUAGGCGCUUUAAAUUCUUGGGUCUGAGAGACCGUUUUGCUACUACGCGUCAAAUCGCUGACCAAUGGUUUGCAGUAGAAGGUAGACUUGUUACUAGACAUACCCUAUACCGUAGCAUUUGAGCCUUUGGACUGGUUUCAUUCCGCCCACCACGAGUGCUUCCUUUGACUGCGGACCACUGUCAUCAACGUUUGAAUUGGUGCAGAGAACGGAAGCGUUGGGUGGCAGAAUGACAUAAUGCAGCAUUCAGCGAUGAAUCGCGAUUUUGUUUAGGUAUGCAUGAUGGUCGUAAGAUGAUAAGACGCCGCCGUGGAGAGCGGCGAGAUAUCGGGUUUGCUGUUGAGAGGACACAGGAGAGACACAGGGCAGUUAUAAUAAUAGUUUGGGGGGUUAAUGCCUAUGGUAGCCGAUCACCACUUUUGUUUAUUAGAGGCAGUAUGACAGAUGCGCGUUAUGUUGAUGACAUCUUACAAACCAGUUUACUGCCUUAUCUAGACGCCGGUCGAAACGCCCUUUUUCAGGAAGAUAACGCGCGUCCCCAUAUUGCUCGUCGAAGUAUGGACUCAUUCCAAGAAGCUUGCGUUAAUUUUUUGCCGUGGCUACCCCGUUUACUGGGUUUAAAUCCUAUCGAACAUGUGUGGGAUAUGAUGGGGAGGAGACUGUCCACUUUGCACCAUCCUCCACAGACUGGCACAGUUAAUCCAUGAAAUUCAAGUUUCUUGGAACGAGGUGCCACAACCAGACAUCGAUCAUUUCACUUUGUCAAUGCCUAGACGUGCACAGGAGUGUAUUGAGUUAGGGGGUCGCCAAACACAUUAUUAAUUUUUUGUUAUUACAUGUAAUAAAAAGUCUUGCCAAUGUUAUCGUUUCAUUCUUAAUGAAAAUGUAACUUGUUGCCAAAAAAUUAAGUUCCAGAAAUCAUUCCUUCUGGGUGUAACACUUCUAAUGUCACUGAGUAUAUGUUGCACAUAUUGGACAUGUACAAAAAAUGUGCAUUGAAUAUACCUACACAGUGCGCCAAAUUUAACGAAUAAUUUUAAAAUUAUAAUUUCAGUUGUAAUGAAAAAAGUUUUGUUUGUUCUGUUGUGCUUUAGGUUGCUUUUAGAAUAUCUGAAAUAGAAAAACCUUUCUUUUUUUAAUAAUGUUUUGAAAUAAGCAAUAUAAUGUCAUAAAUCUAAACAUGUAAAGAAACGUCACUGAUCUAAACAAACAUUAUAAGUAAAUGAAGGAACUGAAAUUGUUGAAUUUCAAGAAAGUGCUAUUAUUACCAAGUACUAGUACGGAUUAUUGCCGCUUCUGUCAUUUAUCAUUACUUGGCAACGAUCUCUCAUACUGAGAAAUGCAUUCGCUUUGUUGUCUUGUACAUAUUCUGCGGUGGGAUCACGAUCAGUAGAAUGGUAGAAUGCUGACGUUACAAAAAUAAUUCUACAAUCGACAAUUUUGGUAUCACGUUAACACGCUUGGGAAAGUAGAAUCGGUGCUCGGCAAUGUUCGGAUAUUCUACUAGCCGUGUUAAAAAUAUCGCUUCUUCUUCUUAAAAAUAUUGCUGUUUGACGUGUGGUUGUCUUUAUUUUGUGGUGGUUGUAUUCAAAAAGCUAACCUAAAGAAAGAUUAUUAUUUGUGAUUAUUUUCAAUUUGUUUAUUUUUGUCUUGUGUUGUUUGGAACUAUUUUAUUAGAAAUCACUAAAUUUUUGGAUUUUACCUGUGACUAGGGAACAUUGUUAUAUUAAGGUAUUUUUAUUCUUGGUAUGAAACAAUGUUAAGACAAUACUGUGUGCUUUUUCAGUCCUAUGAAAGAAAAUGUUUUGGAUGUAACAGAGAAGUGCUACAACUUUGUUAUGAAGAUUUGUCUUUAUGUUAUUUUUAUAAUGUUCAUGGAUUAUAUUUGUUUUUAUGUUUUCUUCAGUUUAAAUAAAGUUUAUGUUUUACCCA